CGAGGAGCUAAAUCCCGAGCGGCGGAGCGGGCGGCGCAGGCUGGAGCUCCCGGCCCCGCGCCCGCGCCCCGCGUGGAUGAGACGCCCGCACGGCGGCUGCGAGCGCUGCUGCGGGGCCGGCGGCCGGCGGGGCCCACGGGGGCCGGGGCUGCGCGCGGGGGCCAGGAGCCGGGCGACGAUGUGACCCCGCCGGGGACCCGCGGGCUGCGAGUGGGCCCCGAGUUUUACUUACUGGGGUAUACUUACAGACUUCAUCUGACCAUGGGAACCCUCCAUGGUUACCUCCUGCAAAACACUAUCACUUUCAAGUUGAAGUUUCUGAGAUAACGGCUUGCGGUGCUCCAUGUUGUUACCCGUAGUAGAUCUCAUCACACGUUGUCACACGUUGCACCGAGAGUGCAAAGUUUUGGCCCAGGGACCUGCACCCCUUUAAGACACUCCUUAACUCCUGUUCCCUGUUUCUACAAACACCUUAUGAUUUUUCUCUCGUGAAGUUCACCUCUGGGUUAGCAGCAGAGGUGAGAGAAAGGAAAGAGACACUUGUUGAAACGUAACCGUGACUUUUCCUGGAAUUUAAAACAUGUUGGUCACCAUGACUGGAAUUCCAGGGCCAUAAGGUCGUUGUCUUUUUUUCUUUGAUGUUAUUUUGCAAAAUGUGAUUAAAAAAAAAAUGUUGGUAAAUACAGACUGGUAAUGAGUAUUUUGAUAGGAGAAUUGUUAUGUAGGUAGUGCUAUUUUAAGUUAUUACAGAACGUUUUCUAUUUAUAAAUGAUAUAAGCAGAAAGAAAUUAUUUCCAGAUAAACAAGACUUACGUACAUGUUUUGAAGCACUAGAACAUUGCAUCCACACUUAGACAUCACAUUUUUUUUUAAAAGCAAAAUAACAGCGUGAUUUUCCACAUGCCUUUGGAGCCAUUCAUAGCCCAUUCAGAACUGAAUUAGUAACUGGAAAUCAUGUUUAUUUUAAGGUGAUAUGUAAGGUUAUUUAAGGUAUAAAGUAGGUCAACAUUUUAAGCAUCCACGGAAUAAAGCAUUAAGGAAAUCUCUUUUAGGAUGUCUUUUCAAUAAGUGUAACUUUUACUUUCGAAUGAGAGGAACCAAGAAAAUGAUCCUUUGCCUAAAAAGCAAAUGAUUCAUUUAUACUAAGUGAAUGAAUUGUCUAAAGCUCCUAAUGGCCAGAGUGGUGGGGUGGGGAGGUGCUGGGAUAUUGCUGGUUCAUUGUGAUUUACCAGGAGGGGGGGAAAUCCUGUAAAUGCAAAUUUCUAAAAUCCUGGCUUCAAGUCUUU
rnacentral:lncRNA from 1 species